rnacentral:lncRNA from 1 species
GGGUGGAUCGGGUUUGUAGUUGAAUCUCAGGUUCGUACGGAUUAAAAUUAUAUUUUAAUUCCAACUGGUUUGAUAUCGAUUUUGGUACUGAACCAUUAAAACUAAGUCAAACCUUUGUUUGCAUGCAUACAGAUUUAAAUUUUCUGAUAGGGGAUAAUAGAUUAUGAUAUUUGUAAAUGUGUGGAAUUAUGUCAGGUUAAAAAUUAUAUAUAAUUAUUACUAUAUGAUAUUUAUGGUGUAGAAAUAAGUUGUUUAUCCGUAGUUCUUAUAUUAACUUGGUAAAUAUGAAAUGGCAUAUAUAUGCCAACACUUUUUAUCAGUUCAGAUCCGGAUUCAUUUGAAUAUUUCUUAAAUAUCUGAAAUAUCAAAUAGUUUACAACAAAAAGAUGAAAAUAAAAUCUGUAAAAAAAUCUAUACUAUUAUUUAAAAUGCAUAUUUAAAAUUUUUUUUUGACAGCUGCAUAUUUUAAAAUAAAAAUAAAUAAAUUUGUAUUUAUAGUGUUUUGUUCCGAAAAAUAUUUUUCAAUAAACAAGUUAAAAACUGAAUAUUAAAUUUGUAUUUAUAUUAUGUUGUAAAUUUUUAUCACUUAUCUAAUCAAAUAUUUUGAAUUCAUUUUUAUUUUUCAGAUAAUUGUUUAUAUU